rnacentral:misc_RNA from 1 species
UUUCCGUAGGUGAACCUGCGGAAGGAUCAUUACUGAGUUUUGAGUGAAGUUGUUCCGGUCUUUCGGGGCAAGUGAACGCUUCUCUCAAUCCAUCUUACACCUGUGCACCUAUCGGGGAAGACUUGGAUCUAAGUUGGGUCACGACGGCGAUCUACAGUCUCCUCUUUAUACCAAAUAACAGUUUUAGAAAGUCUUUUUUGCUUGAUGCAAACUUAAAUAAAUACAACUUUCAGCAACGGAUCUCUUGGCUCUC